GUAACACUAACUGGAGGACCGAACCGACUAAUGUUGAAAAAUUAGCGGAUGACCUGUGGCUGGGGGUGAAAGGCCAAUCAAACCGGGAGAUAGCUGGUUCUCCCCGAAAGCUAUUUAGGUAGCGCCUCGUGAAUUCAUCUCCGGGGGUAGAGCACUGUUUCGGCUAGGGGGCCAUCCCGGCUUACCAACCCGAUGCAAACUGCGAAUACCGGAGAAUGUUAUCACGGGAGACACACGGCGGGUGCUAACGUCCGUCGUGAAGAGGGAAACAACCCAGACCGCCAGCUAAGGUCCCAAAGUCAUGGUUAAGUGGGAAACGAUGUGGGAAGGCCCAGACAGCCAGGAUGUUGGCUUAGAAGCAGCCAUCAUUUAAAGAAAGCGUAAUAGCUCACUGGUCGAGUCGGCCUGCGCGGAAGAUGUAACGGGGCUAAACCAU
rnacentral:rRNA from 4 species